rnacentral:lncRNA from 1 species
CCCCUCCAAUGACUCGUGAGUAGUUUACUUGAGACCUACGGGUCCGUAGUUAGUAGCUAGAUGGCUUCUUCUCUCUCUUGGAUCUUCAAUACAAAGUUCUCCAUGAUCUUCAUGGAGAUCUAUCCAAUGUAAUCCUCUUUGACAGUGUGUUUGUCGAGAUCCGAUGAAUUGUGGAUUUGUGAUCAGAUUAUCUUUGAUAUAUAUUUGAGUCUUUG